CAGAUAAUAAAAGUACAACAAGCAGUUAGCAUAAUGUAUAGUUUUACGGUGGAAAACUACAAUGUGCCUAAAGAAGUGCAAUUGGAAAUUAUGACAGAAAAUCUACGCUAUGGAAAUAAUGACAGGGGUUUGCGGCCCUAAAAAAAGAAGACAAUUUCUUUGGUGUUAUGAUCGAUUCAAUAACUGCAGUCGGCGGUAUUGACCCAGCUGAGGACCAAUUGAGAAAGGCCCUGCAGAACCAAAAAAAAAGAGAUAUUUUAAAAACUCGAACUGCCUAAAAGUAAUGAAAGAACAAGACUCGUAAGAAUAAAGACAAAUUUAAAUUAAAUAAAAACUGUAAUUACAA